rnacentral:rRNA from 1 species
GCAUAUCAAUAAGCGGAGGAAAAGAAACCAACCGGGAUUGCCCCAGUAACGGCGAGUGAAGCGGCAACAGCUCAAAUUUGAAAUCUGGAGUCGUUCUGGCUUCCGAGUUGUAAUUUGCAGAGGGAGCCUCGGAGGGCUGGUCGGUCCAAGUGCCUUGGAACAGGAUACCGCAGAGGGUGAGAGUCCCGUAUCCGGCCGACGCAGUGCUCCGUGUGAGGCCUCUUCGACGAGUCGAGUUGUUUGGGAAUGCAGCUCUAAGUGGGUGGUAAAUUCCAUCUAAAGCUAAAUACUGGCCAGAGACCGAUAGCGAACAAGUAGAGUGAUCGAAAGAUGAAAAGCACUUUGAAAAGAGAGUUAAACAGUACGUGAAAUUGUUGAAAGGGAAGCGCAUGGGGGCAGACUUGGACGCGGGGUUCAGGGUUUCAUUUGUGGAGCCUGUACUUCCCGGCGGACAGGCCAGCAUCGGUUCUGGGGGCCGGACAAAGGCGGUGGGAACGUUGCUCUCUUCGGGGAGCGUUAUAGCCCGCUGUGCAAUGCGGCCACCUGGGACCGAGGACCGCGC